rnacentral:rRNA from 1 species
UACGUAGGGUGCGAGCGUUGUCCGGAAUUAUUGGGCGUAAAGGGCUCGUAGGCGGUUUGUCGCGUCGGGAGUGAAAACCUCGGGCUUAACUCGGGGCUUGCUUUCGAUACGGGCAGACUAGAGGUAUGCAGGGGAGAACGGAAUUCCUGGUGUAGCGGUGAAAUGCGCAGAUAUCAGGAGGAACACCGGUGGCGAAGGCGGGUCUCUGGGCCGAUACUGACGCUGAGGAGCGAAAGCGUGGGGGAGCGAACAGG